rnacentral:rRNA from 1 species
AAAGAAACCAACAGGGAUUGCCCUAGUAACGCGAGUGAAGCGGCAACAGCUCAAAUUUGAAAGCUGGCUCCGGCCCGCAUUGUAAUUUGCAGAGGAUGCUUUUGGUGAGGUGCCUUCCGAGUUCCCUGGAACGGGACGCCAUAGAGGGUGAGAGCCCCGUAUGGAUGGACACCAAACCUGUGUAAAGCUCCUUCAACGAGUCGAGUAGUUUGGGAAUGCUGCUCAAAAUGGGAGGUAAAUCUCUUCUAAAGCUAAAUACCGGCCAGAGACCGAUAGCGCACAAGUAGAGUGAUCGAAAGAUGAAAAGCACCUUGAAAAGGGGGUUAAACAGUACGUGAAAUUGUUAAAAGGGAAGCGCUUGUGACCAGACUUGCGCCGGGCAGCUCAUCAGGGGUUCUCCCCUGUGCACUCUGCCCGGCUCAGGCCAGCAUCGGUUCUCGUGGGAGGAUAAGAACAGUAGGAAUGUGGCCCCCUCUCGGGGGGGUGUUAUAGCCUAUUGUACGAUACUCUCGUGGGGACCGAGGUUCGCGCUCCGCAAGGAUGCUGGCGUAAUGGUCAUCAGCGACCCGUCUUGAAACACGGACCAAGGAGUCGUCCAUUAGAGCGAGCGUUUGGGUGUAAAACCCGCACGCGUAAUGAAAGUGAACGCAGGUGAGAGCUUCGGCGCAUCAUCGACCGAUCCUGAUGUCUUCGGAUGGAUUUGAGUAAGAGUUUUAACGGACGGACCCGAAAGACAGUGAACUAUGCUUGUAUAGGGUGAAGCCAGAGGAAACUCUGGUGGAGGCUCGCAGCGGUUCUGACGUGCAAAUCGAUCGUCAAAUAUGAGCAUGGGGGCGAAAG